UCUCUACCUCAAGACUGGGCUUACGCAGUUACCCAGAUUAAAUGCUGAGCAGCUGUGCAGAUCUGCUGGCCAGAUACCAACUUAGUAUCAGGGAGUAAGGACCACAUCCUGACAGCCUGAGCACCGACACAGAUGGGGAUAAACGCUGACUUGUCUCCAGCUCCUCCUCGUCUUCCCUAGAUGGUACAGCUGUAGAGGCCCGAUUCUCUGGGCAUCUCGAUACUGAUCAGCCUUCAUGACUUCGUGGCAGACACAUCUGGCCUUUUUGAAGGAGUAAACCCAGGUCUCAAAUAUCUCUGCAUCCCAAAGAAAAUUAAUGUUGGACAUGGUGACUUGAAACUAUAAUCAAAUGAGACAAAAGGAAGAACACCAAUCAAGCCACAAACCACCAAACAGCCCCCUCUCCCACAUAAUAAGAGUAAUUGCUGCUGCUUUUUCAUUCAUGGAAUUAUCCUCAUCCUAGUUCUCCCUCGGCGUAGCGAGUAAGAAACCCAACUUGUUCACCU